GACGAACGCUGGCGGCGUGCUUAACGCAUGCAAGUCGAGCGGUAAGGCCCUUUCGGGGGUACACGAGCGGCGAACGGGUGAGUAACACGUGGGUGACCCUGCCCUCAGCUCUGGGAUAAGCCUGGGAAAACCGGGUCUAAUACCGGAUAUGACUCCAUGACGCAUGUUGUGGGGUGGAAAGCCUUGUGCGGCUGAGGAGUGGGCCCGCGGCCUAUCAGCUUGUUGGUGGGGUGAUGGCCUACCAAGGCGACGACGGGUAGCCGGCCUGAGAGGGCGACCGGCCACACUGGGACUGAGACACGGCCCAGACUCCUACGGGAGGCAGCAGUGGGGAAUCUUGCGCAAUGGGCGAAAGCCUGACGCAGCGACGCCGCGUGAGGGAUGACGGCCUGGU
rnacentral:rRNA from 1 species